GCGCUAAUAGCUCAGUUGGGAGAGCGUCAGACUGAAGUCAAUUAAUAUAACUCGGGGUAAUCUGAAGGUCACCCGUUCAAUCGGGUUUGGCGCA